rnacentral:lncRNA from 1 species
AUUAACUCAUAGCUGUAGGACUAAAGUGGAUUAGGGGAACUUUCAUUUAAAAAAAUUAUGUAAGAGGGAAACAAAAGAGACCCAUUUAGAAGCGAGAGAGUGUGGCGGGGGUGUGGGCUCCCUGGCGUCCUCCUGGGAGAGGUGAGAUGGAGGUGGUGAUCCAAUUUGCUUGACUUGAGAGACAGAAUCUCUUAACCCAGGAAAAGGGCCUGGCUCAUCACAGCUCAUCCCGUUUUUUAUUUUGCUGAGUGAAUAAACAGUGAGUGAGUGGUCCACACAUCUCUGUUCCUUCUAAAAAUGGACACUGAAUGCUGAGAUGGGUCAUGGACUUGGACACUGUCUACGGCCACUUCUCACUGUCUACGCCCACUUUUCACUGUCCACGCCCACUUCUCACUGCCCACGCCCACUUCUCACUUUUUACUCCUGGUUCUCAGUGUCAUUCUGUGGUGCUUAGGGUUCUCCUUUUUUACUGUUCUGGGCAGACUCAACCUAAAGGCCAUUUUGAAUGUUCUCUCU